UUCCAGCUGACGAGUCCCAAAUAGAACGAAACGCGCGUCAAACUGGAU
rnacentral:hammerhead_ribozyme from 1 species